rnacentral:rRNA from 1 species
GCUGGCGGCGUGCCUAAUACAUGCAAGUCGAGCGGACGAUUCAUAAGCUUGCUUUUGAAUCGGUAGGAGCGGACGGGUGAGUAAGACGUGGGCGACCGUGCCCCUGUAUACGGUGAUAACAGCGAGAAAUCGGUGGUAAUACCGGAUAACACGGAAGACCACAUGGUUUUACGUUGAAAGGCUCCCCAAGCUGUCUCUCCAGGAUGGGCCCGCGUGGCAUUAGCUAGAUGGUGAGGUAACGGCUCACCAGCGCGACCAUGCGGAGCCGACCUGAGAGGGUGAUCGGCCUCACUGGGACUGAAACACUGUCCAAACUCCUACGGGAGGCAACAGUACGGAAUCUUCCGACCUGGACGAAAGUCUGACGGAGGACGCCUACGUGAGCGAAGAAUGCCUUCGGCUCGAAAAGCUCUGUUGUUAGGGAAAAACAGGUACCGCUUACACUGGCGGUACCUUGACGGCUCCUGCCGAGAAACCCACGGCUAACUACGUGCCAACAGCCGCGCUAAUACGUAGGUGGCAAGCGGUGUCCGGAAUUAUUGUCCGGAGAGCGCGCGCAAGCGGUUCCUUAAGUCUGAUGUGAGAGCCCUCGGAUCGUCCGUGUAGGGUCAUUGAAAACUGAGGGACUUGACUGCAGAAGAGGAGAGCGGAUUUCCACGUGUAGCAGUGAAAUGAGUAGAGAUGUGGAGUAACACCAGUGGCGAAGGCGCCUCUGUUGUAUGUAACUGACGCUGAGGCGAGAAAGCGUGGGGAUCAUACAGGAUUAGAUACCGUGGUAGUACACGCCGUAAACGAUGAGUGGUAAGUGUUAGAGGGUAUCCACCUCUUAGUGCUGUAGCUAAUGCCAUAGAUCACUCCUCAUGGGGAGUGCGCUGGCUAGAGUGAAACUCAAAGGACUUGACGGGGGCCCGCACAAUCGGUGGAGCACGUGGUCUAAUUCGAACCAACGCGAAGAGCCUUUCCUCGUCUUGACAUCCCCUGACAACCCGAGAGAUCGGGCGUUCCCCCUUCCGGGGGACAGGGUGACAGAUGGUGCAUGGUUGUCGUCACCUCGCGUUGUGAGAUGUUGGGUUAAGUCCCGCAACGAGCGCAACCCUCGACGUUAGUUGCCAACGAAUCAGUGGACACUCUAAGUUGUCUGCCGGUUAAAAGUCGGAGGAAGGUGGGGAUGACGUCAAAUCAUCAUGCCCCUUAUGACGUGGGAUACACACGCGAUUCAAUGGGCGGUACAAAGGGUCGCGAACCCGCGAGGGGGAUCCAAUCCCAAAAAUCCGCUUUCA